rnacentral:rRNA from 1 species
GUGCCAGCCGCCGCGGUAAUACGGAGGGUGCAAGCGUUAAUCGGAAUUACUGGGCGUAAAGCGUGCGUAGGCGGCUGUUUAAGUCAGAUGUGAAAGCCCCGGGCUUAACCUGGGAACUGCAUUUGAUACUGGGCAGCUAGAGUUGAGUAGAGGAGAGGGGAAUUUCAGGUGUAGCGGUGAAAUGCGUAGAGAUCUGAAGGAACACCAGUGGCGAAGGCGCCUCUCUGGACUCAAACUGACGCUGAGGUACGAAAGCGUGGGUAGCAAACAGGAUUAGAUACCCCUGUAGUCC